rnacentral:rRNA from 1 species
CCCUUAGAUGUCCUGGGCCGCACGCGUGCUACACUGACACUUACACCGAGUUUUUCCGGCCCCGAGAGGUGGCUGGUAAUCAGUAAUAGGUGUCGUGAUGGGGAUAGAUCUUUGGAAUUAUUGAUCUUGAACGAGGAAUGCCUAGUAAUCGUAGGUCAUCAGCCUGCGAUGAUUACGUCCCUGCCCUUUGUACACACCGCCCGUCGCACCUACCGAUUGAAUGGUCCGGUGAAAUCUCGGGACGGCGGCUUGGUCGCUUGCGUCCGACUGCUGAAACUUGAUUAAACCAUAUCAUUUAGAGGAAGGUGAANUCGUAACA